GUCUCUGUGGCGCAAUUGGUCAGUCUCGCGUUAGACUGUUAAUCUAAAGGUUGGUGGUUCGAGCCCACCCAGGACG